rnacentral:rRNA from 1 species
UACGUAGGGGGCAAGCGUUGUCCGGAAUUAUUGGGCGUAAAGAGCGCGUAGGCGGUCCGAUAAGUCGGCUGUGAAAGUCCAGGGCUCAACCCUGGAAAGCCGGCCGAUACUGUCGGACUAGAGUCCGGAAGAGGCAAGUGGAAUUCCCGGUGUAGCGGUGAAAUGCGCAGAUAUCGGGAGGAACACCAAUUGCGAAGGCAGCUUGCUGGGACGGUACUGACGCUCAUGCACGAAAGCGUGGGGAGCAAACAGG